GUGAGGAAUAUUGGUCAAUGGGCGGGAGCCUGAACCAGCCAAGUCGCGUGAAGGAAGAAGGUCUUCGGAUCGUAAACUUCUAUCCUUGGUGAAGAUAAUGACGGUAGCCGAGAAGGAAGCCCCGGCUAACUACGUGCCAGCAGCCGCGGUAAUACGUAGGGGGCAAGCGUUGUCCGGAAUGAUUGGGCGUAAAGGGCGCGUAGGCGGCCUGGUAAGUCUGGAGUGAAAGUCCUGCUUUUAAGGUGGGAAUUGCUUUGGAUACUGUCGGGCUUGAGUGCAGGAGAGGUAAGUGGAAUUCCCGGUGUAGCGGUGAAAUGCGUAGAGAUCGGGAGGAACACCAGUGGCGAAGGCGACUUACUGGACUGUAACUGACGCUGAGGCGCGAAAGUGUGGGGAGCAAACAGGAUUAGAUACCCGAGUAGUCC
rnacentral:rRNA from 1 species